rnacentral:rRNA from 1 species
AACGAACGCUGGCGGCAUGCCUAACACAUGCAAGUCGAACGAGACCUUCGGGUCUAGUGGCGCACGGGUGCGUAACGCGUGGGAACCUGCCCUUAGGUUCGGAAUAACUCCCCGAAAGGGGUGCUAAUACCGGAUAAUGUCUUCGGACCAAAGAUUUAUCGCCUUUGGAUGGGCCCGCGUUGGCUUAGCUAGUUGGUAGGGUAAAAGCCUACCAAGGCGACGAUCCAUAGCUGGUCUGAGAGGAUGAUCAGCCACACUGGGACUGAGACACGGCCCAGACUCCUACGGGAGGCAGCGGUGGGGAAUAUUGGACAAUGGGCGAAAGCCUGAUCCAGCAAUGCCGCGUGAGUGAUGAAGGCCUUAGGGUUGUAAAGCUCUUUUACCCGGGAUGAUAAUGACAGUACCGGGAGAAUAAGCUCCGGCUAACUCCGUG